CUGAUUUGUCCUGCUCCUCGGUGAUACCUUCCAAACUCCCUGGGGAGACAUCUGUCUCCCUCUUCCUUGUGAUUAAUGGUGAAGGAGGAGAGCUGGCACUGGGCCUCGCCGUGCUCCUCAGUCAGCAUGUGGGUGUACUGUGUGUCCUCCCAUGGUGGUCUCUGGCUCAGAGCUGAAGCAAUGACAGAUCCUCAGGGAGAGGAGAGAUACAUGUGAACUCUCCUUGCGCAGUUUUACGUUGAAUUCCUGGUUUCUGGGGAACAACGUCAGCAUUACUGAAGGCCCUUAUGCUCUGCAUCACCUCAUUGCUAACUCUUGCCAAUUCAGAAGAGUUUCCCAGAGGUUAACCAGGUGAGGUUAGCCUCCAAGGGCGAGUUUUCCUUGGUCUGAGCAGUUCUGAUUCUCUGUGUCAAAUGAUUUACUGCCCCAAAACACAAGGGGAGGAGGAGAAGGCACAUCAGUAGAGGGGCUGCAGCUUGGUGCUGUGCUCUGCUAUGCGCACAAGUAACAGCACGACCAUGUCUUGUGGAUGCUCUGCUCUGCAAGCUUCAUGCCAGCUGCUUGGCCAGGGAGACCACAUGGCAACAGGCCUGAGCAAGGCACAGGCUGGCCACGAUCUGCGUAUCAAAGCCUGGAUUCCUCUCCUGGGGACCAAUGUGUGGGUUGGAGCUGCAGUCGUGUGCCCACAGGUGGGCUUGGAGAAGAUGUGGAGGAGAGGGAAGCCUGGAGCUGUGAGGAAGGAGGGAGACAACCUGUGAGGUUUGAGGAAUGUUCUGAGGUUCAGGGAGCUGCAGAUGCAGGUGCAUCCCAUGCACUGGCACCCUGAUGGCUCUCAGCAGUUUUCACAAGGGUGGCUAGGGUUAGGGACAUCAGGAUUUGUGUAGCCUUCCUUUUCAGGGUUAUUAACAUAAGAAGUCACAGUUAGAUGCUGGAAUCAUAUGAACCUUCCCAUACCCGUGUUGGAAAUCCAUAUAAACCCUGAAAAUAGCUGUCCUAUAUGCUGACUAGUAGAGAAGGUCCAGGUUGGGGUCAGAUCACAACUGGCACCAAAGGAGGGAGAAAUACUCAGAAGAGGAGAAAAUUAUGAGACAGUGUCACAAACCUUGCAGCUUCUUCCAGCUGCUGUCCAGCCCAGCCCUGGGUGACCUUUCCUAAGCACACAAGGUGCAAAUAAUAUUUACCCAGGAAGAAGACGCACUAAGCCCAGGGACAACACAGCCCCUUCCCCGCAGGCAGCCAACCCGUGAAGCUCUGCCCAGGGAGCUGCCACCCUUCAGGGCUGGCCAGAUGUGACAGACACACGUCCAUCAAGACCCUGUACAUAUCUGCCUUGGGUCACCAAGCCAACAAACCCCUGAGCUUGGAGACUUGGUCCUUUCCACGUGGGCUCUGACCUUUGCUACACAGGGCUGGUGGCUGAGGAGAAGCGCCGGGUGUUGCAGCAACCUAUGAGAGGCAGCUGGGGAGGAGGAUGCAGCUUUCUGCUAUUUUGGGGAGCAGGGAGGAAGAGGAAGGGCUGCUGACAAAGACUGAAACUAGAAAAAUGACGGUGAUGACAAAAAACCUCCUCCCAUUUAGGGAACCAGAUGCAUUUGUUUUCUGAUGUGACCAGGAUAGCUCAAACUGAGAGAUGCAAGUUCAAGUUACUAAAUUUUCUUCAUCCCAGGGCGAUGGUACCCCUUUAUCACGUGGAAAGAACCAAAUGCCCUACCAGACCCCUCAGUCCCUGACCUGUUCAGGGGCUGAAAGGUGCCUUUACCCAAAUGUCUAAUGUCUCCUUCACCUGGGUCCCCUCCCUCUUCUUCCCUGGCCGCUGUACAGGGCUGGCUACCAGGAGUAGCUGCCUGGUGGUUACAUCCCAGGGCCCAGGGCUGCAACAGAGAAAGCCAAGGAGGUGGCAGCCAAUGGCACCAUACUUUUAGGAGAUUUUGGGGCUCAUGGUGAUGCUGGGUGAUGAAGAAGGGAAAUAGUAGCCUUCCCUAUAGCUGUGUUUGUUUCUGCUCACCCUCCUGCCCAGCUCUCCCUUGGGAGGUCUGCUCCUCUUCCUGACCCAGCUCCAGCUUCGUGUUUGCAGACAGUAAAGUUGUUCUUCUUGAGACACACAAGAAGACAGUCGCUGCCCCAGGGAGCCUGUGGUCAAGGCGAGGAGAUGCCGUGUUAUUUGGUUUCUUCUUUAUUUUCAUUUUGGCUUUUGUAGUUGCAGAUGGGCUCCAGCCACAAAGUCUGGAGGCAGGUCCCACGUCCACUGUCUCCUGACUUGGGUGGAGGCUGAGUCCAGGCUGCUAAUUCAGACCUUCUCUAUUGCUGGGGCUGGAUUUAUAUAUGAUUUUAUUCUAUAUAGUUACGGAUAUAGCUAGAUGUGAGAAUUUCAGCGGACAGGUGAAGAGAUGCUUUAUAAAUGAAACAUGUGGUUUUGAAAAAUUUCAGCAAAAGGAUGGGAUAUAAAUUGGAAGUGAGAGCAUGGUGUGGGGGGAUCUCACAUGCCCUGGGAAGAUUUAACCCAGUCCCAUCCACACCUUGACUGCAAUUUUCCUGCUGGUAAAGCAUACCUGGGAAGUGGGAUUGAAGCCCCAUCUGCAUCUGAGCAGCAGCUCAGGACCUGAGGACAGAGCUGCAACUCCAGAAUGUGCUGUACCUGUCUUCCCCACUGUAUACAUCUGGCCCACCAUAGCUGACGAUGAGUUUCCAAAUCCUCAGGUUUGGGGAGCAGGCAUGGAGGGAGAUGCCUGUUUGAUGCAGUGAAGGGCAAAGCUCGCACGGAUGGGAAGGAGGACGAGCUGCAGGGUUUCAGCCUCCAUCUCCAAGAGUGAUCUGGGGUAGCUCUGAUCUGCCCCUGCACUUCAUCAGUCCUGUUUUGUACUUGAUGUGGAUUGUAGCCUGGGGGAGAGGUUAUCCAACCAUGGCUCUGCUCCCCACAUCUUCUGCUUCUCCUUUUCCUUCUCCUCCUUUAGAUAUGGCUGCUGGGAGAAAUGCUUUUUUUCUGGAGCUUUUACCAAACUGCAAGGCGGUUUCCAAAACAUCUGGAACAGCUCAUGGAGCUGGAGUGGAGUGUAACGCCGAGGGUGGAAAUAGGGUCAUGGAAACAGAGGCACCCUGUUGGAUUAAUGCUUGAGAGCAGCACUUGGGAAGGGCUGAGUUCAAAUUCUCACCCCACUCACAAAGAAAAAGAGUUGGAAAAAUCCCAAUGAGACCCUGUCCACACCACCAUGUGCCUCUGGGUCCUGCUCCCCAUGGCCAUGUCUGGAGAAGGUCCCAGCAGUCCUCAUUGAUGCCCAUGACCUUCAGGCGCAGACACGGCACUGUGCUGUGAAGGGCAGCACAGGCGUUUUGGUCUCCCAGAACCUAAAUCUGCUCCUAUGUCUCAGGCUGGGAGGAGUUCUAGAAAGAAGCCAGUAUUUCAGAAAGGGCAAUGAGGCCCUUCGGGUUUUUCAGAAGCUGCCAGCUUGACAUCCAUCAUAGCCAAAAUACAGAGAUGGCUUUUACACAAAGCAAAAUGUAGUUAAUUAAAGAAGGGGUGCAACUGAUGCCAAUUCCAGAAAAUGAUGAAAAUAGAUCUCUGCUAAAUUCCUGAUUUCUACAAGGCUGGAUUUGGGCUGAUAAAGAUGGUCUUCUCAAUGCAACGGCCUUGGUUGUGUGGUUUGACUUGGCAUCAGCCAUGAUACAAAUGGGGCUGGAGUGGAUUCUGCUGCUUAGAUAGAUUGAUAAAUGCUAAUGACAAUACAAAACCAUCAGGGGUCAGCUGAUGGGAGGGCAAAGAGGGCUGGUUACGGGCUGGGAUAUGCAACUGCCCUGGGGAGCUGCAGUCACGCAGCCACCUCCCAAAUUUUACCUGUUCAGUGAAAUCAAACAAACCCUUGUAAACAUUUGUAAAUAAUAUUUAUAACAACCCUUCAUAACAUUCGUAAAUGGCUGUUACAGAAUAAGCCAGAUCACUCAUCUUGGUGCGAGCCAAAACUGCCUCUUUCAGCACAACCACAUAAAGAGUCUAGGAACAAAAACAGAAGGUGGUAUUUAUAGGAUGGGACAACCUCUCUGUCUUGGGAAGUAAAGCAUGUGAAAGCCACGGUUGAAGCAUGAGUUUUAGCCUUAUUUUAGUGGGUCAACCUUUAAAAAUGUUUUUGUGGUCCUUUGGGCUGCUCCAGACUCCCAGGGCCCUCAGAUUUGUAACUCUGACUGUGCCCUCAGUGCAAUGCAGCAGCCGUGAGGGCAAUCACCCUCCUUGGAUGUGGUGGGGCGAGGAUGGAGGUUUUAUUUGCUGUGGCAGCCAGAUAAGAGCAAGGAGCAGUGUCCCCAGCUCCGGUGUCCCCUUGCCAAGGAGGAGGGUGGCACAUUGGGAGUAUCCAGGAAAGAAAGCCCCAGAAAUGAUUCAGCGGCUGGAAAUGUUGUCUACUGGAAAUGUUGCCUACUCAGACAAGCCCCACACUCAGGAGCCACUGUCACCACCGGCUGAACUCACCCUGACAUCCCUGGACCGAAUCCGUGUGGUAUCAAGAGCUCAAACGGAGAUGCUGGACCCAAGCGUAUUGCCCAUGGGACAUCAUGCCUGGAACAGCACCAGAAGAGAGCCUGCCCCUACUCCAUCCCUGCAGACGCCACUGUAGGGGUUGAAACUCUACUCCGAGGCGGGAGACGCUCGGGGGAAUUUGCGACAGCAGAUGGUGGGGAAAAGAGAAAAGAAUGGAGCUUGCUGCCUGCGGGCACGGGAACACAACACCCUGGGACGGAGCACAGUGUGAACAGCCAAAGGAAGAUGAGAGAGGAGGGGUGGGUUACCCCCUUCACAUCCCCUUCCGGCAAGAGGAUCUGAGCAAAACGUCACUGAGACCUUCACUGAUGCAUUCAAGCCAACUCCCGCUCACAUCAGCUGGGGAUGGGCCAUGAUGACGAGGUUUCCAGGCAGAGGGUGUCCUGCAGACGUUCCUGUUGUGGAGAAGAGCGCUUGCUGUAAGGACACCAUUAGCUUUGCUUAGUCCCAACCUCCUCUAAUGGGAACUGGGAUCUCUUCUCCGUUCCAUUUGCACCAUGGGGGUGGCACAGACUCCCAGACCCACCCAGUUGCUGGCCCCCAGCCUGAUGAGUUCCUUUACAGGGUGCUGAGGAUUGCUGGUGUGGAGGCCAUGGGUUCUUUGGUGGGACAGCCCUGAAUACCUGACUGUGCAUCACCUGCCAGGACACCCCAAGCCCCACAGGCUGCCAUGAAGAAUUGAUUUCCUUUUAUUAUUACUGCUUAUGUCAGCCCUACUAGUGGCUCUAUCAGGACAUUGUUGAGGUUGCUAAUUUAAUGCUGACCAGAGGAUAAUGAGGACAGCCAUCAGUGCCCUAAUACUAAUUUGAUUUUUAAUUUAUUGUAGUAAGGAAAAGGUGACUAAAAGGAAGGGCUGGGAAGCUGAGCGUGCUGGCUACGUGCUGUGGCAUUUCCAGAACGUGCUGCAGACUGAGGUGGGCAAACUCUGCAGGGCCUCCUGAUUUCAGAGGUUGCUUCACAAAGAUUUCAGGGCCGGGGCUGUCAUCUUCCAGGGACCCUUGUAUGACACCGUUGCAUUGGGUUGGAUGAUGGCCUCAGGAUCCUACUCUCUUCCAGACCUCUAGGGCAGCAUGUGCUAGUGCUAAAUGAGUGGUGCCCCAUGGGAGAGCUUGCUCUUCAUCCUUGUGUGUAGAGAUGGUGGGGGCUGGCUGUGGUGCUACUGAGUAGUGGAGAUGGGCUUUGGCACCUGGCUGGGGGGCUGGAACAGGGGCCGUGUUGGACAGGUUGAGGUGAACAAGGGGGACUUUGAAGGCUCUGCAGGCUGGGUUUCAUGGCUCUAACUCCCAGGGUGUCUUCAAACCUCUCCCAGCCUUAAUUUUCAAGUAUCAAGUUCCUCUGGAGCCCUCUCCCAGAACAACUAGUAUCUCACACCCAUGGCUUGUGUGCUCAGAAGUGUCCUACUUCCCCCAGUGACCGAAGCCCACAGACCCCUUCCUCCAGCUGGGUAUACGGUGUAGCACUGUGAGCUGAAGAACAGGUUCAAAACUGACCUCUGAGCUUCUACAAAGCCUGAUGUAUUUUGGGCACAAAACAUCCAUCCCGUGCCCAGGCUGAGCUGAGCUCAUUUUGCAGUGAGUAAACAAGGCUGGUGCACAGACCGCAUCCAUGUCACAUCUUGCAUGUGUGGACAUAGCCAGAGAGGAAAGCAGCAAUUCUGAGGGGAGAAAUGGGAGAUGGAGAGGACGGGAGAGAGGGGAGAUGGGGCAUUGGACAAUGCUUGAGCAUUGAGGAGGCUGUGGGGGCCGUGGGUGCGUCCAGCUGAGUCCAUGUUCUGCUCUUUGCACUGAAAACUGACAUGGCUGGAGGAGGGGGCUGCCUGGGGAGCACUCCAAUGUGCCUCUGCCGGGUCAGGGCUUCUCACAGCUUUAUUUUGGCUGUGGGGGUGGCAGCGAUGCUUUGCAGCAGGCUGUCAAGUAGCUGACGGUGCUGGAGGAACACCAGAAUGACUUUAUUUUGGAAAUAUGUCCCUGUGGAGCACUCAGUGUCCCUCGGCCAUCCCGGCCCAGAGCCAGCCGAGCCGCUGGGACCUGCUCUGCUCACAAUUGUGCUCGCCCCGUCUCUUAUCGCUCUGCUGGGAAAAGAGCUGGCGAGAAAGUGAGCCAAACCCGCGUGAGCUGUCGCUCCCUUCAGCAUGCUUGAGCCAAAGGCUGGUCUCUUUCUUCCAUUCGUUUUCCUUUCUUCUUUCUUUCCCAGGCGUGCUUUUUGGGUGGAUAACAUGACGGGGAGGGUGAUAACAUGGUGGGGUUUUGGCGGAGAGCAAGAAGGGGAGAGCAGUGUCAUGGCACGUCUCUGCCGUCGGGCCAGCCGGGUGCCAGGCAGGAAAGGGCGUCCCCAGCCCCGCGCGGAGUGGGACUGGGAGGAAAGGAAAGGGACGGGGACAGGAAGGGCAGAGCGGCGCCCAGGGGGGUCACGCCAGGCGGGAAGAGCACCCAGCUCCCCCCAGGCAGGUUGUGCCCUUCAGCCUCCCCACAGGCCGGGGAUCGGAGUAGGGAGGGAUGAUGUGCUGUUGAAUCUGGUCCAGAAUAAACAGCCUUCUGCCACUGGAGAAAACAGCCAGCUUGUUUUCCUGGCGGACAGGGAAAUGGUGGAGCCUUUUUCCUCUGGCCCCUUUCAUGAUGGGAGGUACAGCAGUGUUAACCCGCUCAGCCCAGGUGGGAGUGAGAGCUUGUCCUGGGGCUGCUGCCAGCUCCCCUGGGGAUGGCGCUUCUCCCAUUUGUCUUGUGCUUCACAGAGCAGCAAUGUUUGGCAUUGCCAAUGGGUUUUCUGCUCUUACUGUGUUGUCUGUGUGUCCCCUUGGGUGCUAUGGCUGAGGGACUUGCUGCCUCAAAACCUGCUGCUCUGCCAGCCGUGGUGGUGACCUGCUGGGAGGAUGGAGGGAGCUGGAGCUGGGUCAGGCUGUAUGUUCUCACACAGGUUCCAGCACACUAGGGUUGAAUUAGCAUCACAAACCAUGGAGGGAAGGACGGCAAAAAGCAACCCACACCUUCCUAAAGGACUUGAUCUUUAAGGAAGACACCUGAGGAACCAUCAAGUCCAUCACCUAAUUGUGUUAUGGGUGCCAAAACCAGAGCCUUCCCCUCCCUACGGGGCAUGGCAGCCACAUGAAGUCCCAGCAUGUUUGUGCUCUGGAGCAGAACUGAGCUGAGCACAGGCACGUGAGCGAGUUGGCUGUAGACCUCCUGGAGCUGGCGAUAGGAUGCCUCCCUGCGGGAGGAGCAGCUUAGCAUAAAUAUUUAAUAGCUACAGUAAAUAUUUAACUUCUCCGACAUGAGUGAGGAUGGAAAAAAUAGACCCUGGCGGGCAACCUUACAAAGCCCCUGGGUGAGAUGCUUUUGAGCGCUCUUCCCAACAGCCCGUUGCACUGGCUUCCAGGCAGGACCUGGCUUUCAUUAGAUGUAUGUGCAGAGCCUAACAUAAGGAGGCUGUGAUCUGAAAUCAGCUCAUUAUAAAAAUAGCAUGCCCUUUGCAUGAGUCAAAAAAACACCCGCUCCUAAUUAAACAGGAACGUCAUCCAUCUGAAGUUUAGACCGGCACUUCAGCUGGCUCGUGCUCGGCAUUAAAAUCAUCUCCUUGGGCAUUUCUAGCUCGAGAGGGUGCUUCUGGGAGGAUACUUUUGUAGAGGAUAGGCAUAACUAUGCAGCGGAGGAAAUUCUUCUUUGCUAUUGAGGUUGCUUAAGGCAAAUAUUAACUUUAACAGAAGGGUUUCUGCUAUGGACAGCAUACGGUGGAUUGCAGUCAAUCCAAAAUCCUGCUGGAGGAUCAGGUACACCCAAAGUAACAGGAGACACAUACACACCCCCUUGUCUGACAUAUCGAACCUCAUAAUUUGAUUGCCAGCAUAACUUCCUCUCUUUUUAGAUGAAACUCCACUUGCUGAGGCGAGGUCCCACGUGUGCAAGAUGCUAGAAAAGCCCUUGUCCCUUGUGUCCUGCUGCCUUGAUGCAGCAGUCUGGGAUCUCGGGGAGUGAUGGGUGAUCCCAGAUCUCUAUCCCAGCCUGUUUUAUUCUGAAGAACCAGUUUUGCACAGCAAGACCUAGAAACAUUGCCAUCUGGUUGAAUGUUUCUGUGCUAAUAAUAGUGUGGCUAAAUAUUUGUGUGAGGGCCUCUUUUAGCACUGGGGCUCCCAGAGGAAUAUGGGCUGCAUCUCUGGCAUUUUUAAUAGAAAGCAAGAAAAGGCCAUGAAGUCAGAGGAAGAAAAGGUGUCAGAAAACACCGGGUCAAUAGGACAGGGCAAUGGGGGACGCCAGCAUGAAGAAGAGUCCUCCAAAGGCUUUGUGUGACCAGCUCCAAAAUGAUGGCAUGUGAGUGGUGUGGUGCCACGUGGGUCUGGGCUUGGGUGAAGCUCUGCCUCGUGCGAAGGAGGAAGCUUGACAGGUCAGCAAGCUAAAACCACUCAGACUCAUCCGUCCCGAGACACAUCGCCUGAUACUGGUUCUCUGAACUGUGGUUUCCUGAUGCAGCUGUUUGAUAAAUAUUUAUCUCUGCUCUAUUGCAAAGCAAUUAGGACAGCCUCAGAAGUGGGUUUACUCAAGAGGCACCACAAAAAUAAGACAAUUUGGAUAAUGAAUGUAUCUAUUUAUUUUCCACUCCUAAGGACUCUCCUGAAAGCUCCUGCGGAAGCAGGCAUUUCCCAAAACUUCGUCCAAGUGUCUGGUGCUGCACAAAGGUUAAAACCCACAUCUCUGUUCUCACUCGCCUCAUACUGGUUUUACACCAGUGUCCACCCACCAAAGCUGCCAGCUUGCCCCAGUAUAACGGGGUGCUGGAUGACUUCAACAGGCCAUUGGCUGCAAUUUGGGAAGCUUAUCCUUUAGUGUCCAUAUGUGCUCCCAUCUUCAACCUGAGAAGGGCGGACCUUCUCCCAGUGCAGGCUGUUGGGUAUCAGUUGUAGGUAAACACCCAGUAACAGCAAUGAGGCUGUGAGGGCUUAGUCUGCAGAACAGAGAUGUGGUCUUUUCCUAAGGUAAGGUCUGGGGCUCUCAUAUGAGGUGCUUGGUCAUGGAGAAGACAGUGGAGCCUUCAAGCUAUGAGCUGAUGUGAGAGUUGGUUUUUAGUUUUCUGCUUUAAGCUGUUUUUUAGCUGUCUACUUUUCACUUUGUCCAGGACAGAGAAGGCAUUCGAGCCAUUCACAGGUCACAAACCCACACGGUACAGGGUGAGUGCAGGCAGGUUACGCUGACCACUGUGGGCUCAGCUCAGUGGUCAAACCCCAGCUUCCUGCUCAUGUCCAUGAGCAGUCUGAUCUCAUGGUGUUCCUCAUGUCUAGCAGUGGUUCUGGUGUCAAAUACAGAUGGAUUGCACUCAUUCCUGGAGCUCAGCCCCAAUGGCCUGCCCAUUAAGGACAUGUGGAGGGACCAAAGGGCUUGCACAUCCUUCAUGGAAGAUUCGAGGGUGCUACAUGCAGAAAAAGGAGCUCUUUUUAUGGACUUGUAGCACAAACCAAGCGAAUCCUCAGUGUGUCACGGCCAGGAGGUUAACUGAGGCCCAUCCCUGGGAGGUUACAAAGGGAAAGAAGAGUUUUCUUUGUUGGAUUUGGGAAGAGGUAGCCCCUGCACUCUCCUUUAUGGGAUUGCUGCCUCUUGCACUGCUUUCUUCCCCCCUCCCUUCAGCCUGUUGCUCGACACAAGCCUCCCUGGCAUUUGGGGCCAUCCCACCCCUCCCCAGCACCCAUCACCAUCUGCUCACCACAACCCCACACAGCUCAGCCCCUAUCCCUUGUCCACCGCAGAUCCACAGCCCUUUGUGCCAUUUUAUCCCCUCGGCUGUAACUCUGCCGCUUGCCCCUCGCUCCCUUCUCCUCUCCCGGAAAGGCGAGAGGUGGGGAAGGGAAAGGUUUCCCCAGCUCUGUGCAGAAAUGUUCAAGUGUGUCAAAAGACAAAGCCUGUCCCCUUUGCAACCCACCAGCUGCUGCUGCCACAAAAGCGGGGAGAGGAGGGGGGCUGGGAGCGUGGGGGGCACUUUGUGACCCGAAAGGAAAAACCUUGAGAAAAGAACAGAAUAAAUAUCCCCUCCUUCCGCCCCUUCUUAACAAGAGGGGACAGAAUUAAACACUUUUGUUAAGUGAGGGGCUGUCCCCCACACCAGUUAACACGGCUCCUGCGCCCUGUCCUGGUGUCGGACUUUAACUCACUCUGUGUCAUGUCUUUCUCUCCAUGGGCAGAAAAUUCAAUUAGUCUCGAGCAAAUGCCUUCCUAAAGGACACAGAAAACGAAAAUAAAGAGGAGAAAUCUGCUUUCAUCAUGUACAGAAAGAGGCUUUGAGGGGGAAAUACAGAUUAGGGAGAUGAAGAGGCAGGUUUAAGGCUUUCAAAAGGGGUUCUCUCUCCCUUUUUCUUUCUUUUCUUUUCUUUUCUUUUCUUUUCUUUUCUUUUCUUUUCUUUUCUUUUCUUUUCUUUUCUUUUCUUUUCUUUUCUUUUCUUUUCUUUUCUUUUCUUUUCUUUUCUUUUCUUCUGUUUUUCUCUCUUCUCCUUCUCCUUCUCCUUCUCCUUCUCCUUCUCCUUCUCCUUCCUCUCCUCUCCUUCUCUUCUCCUUCUCUUCUUUUUGUUGUUCUUUCUUUUUUCUUUUCUUUUUAUCCUCUCUUCUUCUCCCCUCCCUUUUAAUUUUCCCUCCUUUUUCUUUCUCUUUUCCCUUGGUUUGCUUGCUUUCUCUUUCUUUAUCCCUCUCCCCCUCCUCUCUUUCUCUCUCUCAUACUCUUUCUCUCCUACACCCAUCUGAUGACCCAAGCCUGAUCCCAUACACACCACUGCUGAAUCAAGUCAAACCCCAGUGUAAACAGAGAUGUGUUCAUCUUGCUGUGACUAAGGCUCCAAACCAGCCCUGGGUUUUUUGGCUUUCUGUACAGCUCCUCCAUCCAGGUACAACAAUACCCCACUGCCAGGGAAAGGGCAGGACUGAUGCUGGGAACACUCUCCUGCUGGGACACCGCUCCUGCAAACCUAUGGAGAUUUCUGUAAGAGCCUUCUGGCCAUUAGUGGCCACUGGAAAUCAGGGGAAACAUUGCUGAUGGCUCAGUGGUGAGGAGCACAGUUUGGGCACUGCGCCGGGGACACGGAUGGGCUGGGUGCCUCCUCCACAGGGCACUCAGCAGCUUAUCGCGAGCAUUUCCCGGCGAUCACGCUUCCUGCCUCUUGAUUGCAGAUGCUGGUGUCUAAUCACCGCUUCCUUCCCUGCCUCUCGCCCUGUGCUGGUGCUCAGGGCUCCGCUGCAACCCAGGGCAGGUUGGCAUCAUCCCAUCCUCCACAUUCACCUCCCACAACUGGUUUUUCCCCAUGUUGUUUACCUCUUCCUCUUCCAACGAGUUCAUCUUUGGAUUCUGGGCUUGGUCCUCAGCUGCCAACACUCCGGAGCGAGGGCUGGUGCUUGAUACUGCUGCCUGCCAGAGAUAAGAGCUAAUCUCUGCUUUAUGGUCGCAAAUACAACUUGCAGAUCAGAAUCUCUGUGCGGAAAUCAGGACUGUACAAACACUCGUGGGAGGAGAGAGGGGGGCUGGCAGCACAACCCUUUUACUGAAGCUGUUUGUUGUUUUCUUGUGGGCUUGCCCCUACGAAGUGCCAGGCUUUAUUAGCAGGGAGGUAGAAAGAUACAACUCCAGCAAGCACUGGGUGAGAGGGACCAAACAUGUUGUUAGGGCAGAAGACUUCUUUUUUUGACUCAUCAGAGGCUGGGCAUGGGGAAUUCACUCAUGAGCUUUCCUUGAACACAAGCUUCUCAAAGGUAUAAGGAAGAGAAGGGAAGAGAGGUACUGUACUAAAUGAUAACCUGGCUGCAUGAUGAACUAGCUCACAACAGUCCUGCACUGAGAUUUUAAGGUAUUUCUGGUGUCUCUCAAGGUCAAGCCUUGGGAGGGAAAGAGACUCCUUAAACAAGGUAGGAAUUGCCUAGAAGACAUAAAAUUUGUCUGUCCUUCCUUCCAGCACCAGCCACUGCCAUCUCUUUAGGUGCACUCAACAUCUGGUAGGAGACUUUGAGUUUUUAGCUUGUAUUCUUCUCCCUCAAGGUCUCUAUCUCAUGAGCUCCCUGACACACAAGCAAUGGAUAUUCUUGGCUCUUUCUGCUGCCACUGUUUCCAUUGCCAAGACCACAGAGGACAAUGGACUGGACCAUUUUCAGGUUGCUUUUGGAGAUGAAUGUGUAGCUGUGGCCUCCCAACAUUUUCCAGUUGGCAAGAGGAUGAGCCAAGUCUCUGAAGUGCCCAAGAACGAGACCACACGGGAUGGAGUGAGGAGACGGCCGAGUCCCAGAGCAAAAGGGUGGACGACUAGGAAAAGAGCAGGAAAAAAAGACAGACUGCAGGAUGAGAGGGAGAAAAUCAGCUUGGACACAGAGGUUUGUCUCUUGACUUUUCCCUGUGUGCAGGUUCCCCCAGUUUCAGCUCGCUCUGGCCAAAAGCCUGAGGGGGACCAUUGAAGGAGCUGUGCAAAAACAGUACAGCCGCUCUCACAGCAUCUGCAGAGCCGGGUGGCUGCAGCGCUGGUUAAUCAGUUACUCGCUCAUAGCCCCGAGCUCCUGCAAACUGCUUUCAUCUCCAAGCCAAAGGAAAGGAUGGAUCAUUCCUCAGCAGCUUCCUCUGCAACAUCUGGGCUCUGUGAGAGCUGGCUCUGCCUCGCCGGGAGCUGCGCAGUGACCGCAGCCACCCCGGCACGGGAUGUUCCCUCUGUCCAGCGCUGUGGAUGCAUCCAAGGGGGUUCUCAAUCUUGGCUGUAGUCUUGGUGCCACCACAGCUGUCAUUCUGGCUCUGAUCCAAGCUGAGGGUCUUUCCAAUGUGGACAACCCAGUGCACCCCAGCCUCCUGCUCCACUGCAGAGGUCUGAGGCUGUGCAUCACCUGAGGCUUAAAUAAUCCAAAGAGAGAGAUGGCAAGCACUGCCUCACACCAAACCCCUUGUCACCUUAACCGUUGCCCUGGACUCUUGUUCUCCUGAGGUCCCUGUUUUCCUUCCCUUUAAAUAACACUUUUUCUUUGCUGCUCUCCAUCCCAUAAACAGAGCUACCAGGAUCCAUGCUCCCAGGAAAAAUUCCCACUCCUGUUCCCCUCACAGUCUGAUGAGACAAAGUAGAAAAAAUGUUCAGAGGGGAGAAAAAAGGAGCUGGUUUUGAAAUGAAUAGAAGCUGCUGGUCAGGCUGCCACCGAACAGACAAAGGCUUUCCAGCGUGUAACUGCUUGUCUAUGCAGGGAAAUUAAUUGGAACAGCUUUUCCAAAUUAGCUGCAUGUGAUAAUGAUAAAAAUAAUAAAAACAAAUAGUGGAUUAAGUUAAAUUAGGAAAAAGCAGCUUUAUUCUGGAAUAGGCGUGUCCACAUUCCAGCAUAUUUUAUUCCACAAUAGCAGCUUUGCUUGGCUCCUCUGCGCCGACAAGCCCUGACACCAGCCCUGCGCUCGCUCCCGCUCCUCCUCUGCAGGGCAAUCCUGCCUGCUUGUGCUCCCCUCCUGCUGCCUCAGGCUCCUCCAGACCUUUUCCUUCAGGCUGCCAUUUUCCAGCACUUCUCCCUGCCUGAAAGUCCUUUGGGAACGUGGCCCAGACUGUCUUGUGGACUUUUGGUGUUUCUCAUCCCAGUGAAGGCUGCUCCCAGCCCUUUCCAAGUGUGCAAAUGACCCUGCUCUCCUGCUGUCCCUGCUCCCUGCAACAGCCUCUCAGACAAAUUUGGCAUCAUUCCCACUUUGAAAAUUCAUUUGGGUCUUUGGUUUAGCAUUCAAUCCCUUCUGCAUUGCCUGCAGCCCUGAAAGCUGGUUCCCCUAUCACACAGGCAGCUUGUCUGCCUUCAGCUUAGCUCCUAAGUGACAUUUGCACACACAUAGAAAAAUCCUGGAUUUAUUUUGGAUGGGGAAAGAUGAGAAUUUGGCACGCACAACCAAGUAGCGACCUCUCUGACCAUGCUGCCUUCGCAGAGCCUGGUUGCUGGAUCCCAUUUCAUUGCUGCCAAUUCCAUGGGCUGUCUCCAGUGGGGUGAGCAAGAGUGACUCCACUGACCGUACGGAGCUGCAACAGUUUGCAUCAGAUGAGGAUCUUGCCCUUUGUGUUAGAAGAAAGACAUAAUUUUAAUUAUCUUGACAUAUUUAUCACUGUGAGCCUGGGCCUUUUAUCUCCACGGGUUCAUUUUCAAAUGUGCAGAGCCACGAGAACAUGAUUGCCUUUUAUUAAAAUCCUGCUUGAGGUA